rnacentral:rRNA from 1 species
UACGGGGGGGGCAAGCGUUGUUCGGAAUUACUGGGCGUAAAGGGCGCGUAGGCGAUUUUGUAAGUCUUGUGUGAAAGCCCAAAGCCUAACUUUGGAAGUGCACGAGAUACUGUGAAAUUUGAGUUCCGGAGAGGAAGAUGGAAUUCCCGGUGUAGCGGUGAAAUGCGUAGAUAUUGGGAAGAACACCAGUGGCGAAGGCGGCUAACUGGUCCGAGUACUGACGCUGAGGUGCGAAAGCGUGGGGAGCAAACAGG